rnacentral:ncRNA from 1 species
CGUAUCGGAGAAGCGCAGGAAACUGCGCGAAACUCGCCUGCAAUCCCGGCAUCAUCACACCAGUGAUGUGGCGACUUUUUCAACUGGCUGCUGCUGCGGCAGCGAUUAU